UACGAAGGGAGCUAGCGUUUGUUUCGGAAUCACUGGGCGUAAAGCGCACGUAGGCGGAUGUGUCAGUCAGAGGUGAAAUCCCGGAGCUCAACUUCGGAACUGCCUUUGAUACAGCACGUCUUGAGUCCGAUAGAGGUGGGUGGAAUUUCCUAGUGUAGAGGUGAAAUUCGUAGAUAUUCGCAAGAACACCAGUGGCGAAGGCGGCUCACUGGCCCGGUACUGACGCUGAGGUGCGAAAGCGUGGGGAGCAAACAGG
rnacentral:rRNA from 1 species